rnacentral:rRNA from 1 species
UGGGGAAUAUUGCACAAUGGGGGAAACCCUGAUGCAGCGACGCCGCGUGAACGAAGAAGGUAUUCGUAUCGUAAAGUUCUGUCCUAUGGGAAGAUAAUGACAGUACCAUAGAAGAAAGCUCCGGCUAAAUACGUGCCAGCAGCCGCGGUAAUACGUAUGGAGCGAGCGUUGUCCGGAAUUAUUGGGCGUAAAGGGUACGCAGGCGGUUUAAUGAGUCGAAUGUUAAAGAUCGGGGCUCAACCCCGCAAAGCAUUGGAAACUGAUAAACUUGAGUAGUGGAGAGGAAAGUGGAAUUCCUAGUGUAGUGGUGAAAUACGUAGAUAUUAGGAGGAAUACCAGUAGCGAAGGCGACUUUCUGGACACAAACUGACGCUGAGGUACGAAAGCGUGGGGAGCAAACAGG